AUUGAACGCUGGCGGCAGGCUUAACACAUGCAAGUCGAACGCGUGGCGGACGGGUGAGUAAUGCUUGGGAAUCUAGCUUAUGGAGGGGGAUAACUACGGGAAACUGUAGCUAAUACCGCGUACCAUAGGCUGAGCCCAAGUGGGAUUAGGUAGUUGGUGAGGUAAAGGCUCACCAAGCCGACGAUCGUUAGCUGGUCUGAGAGGAUGACCAGCCAAACUGUGAAUGAGACACGGCCCAGACUCCGACGGGAGGCAGCAGUGGGGAAUAUUGCGCAAGGGGGGCAACCCUGACGCAGCCAUGCCGCGUGGAUGAAGAAGGCCUUAGGGUUGUAAAGUACUUUCAGCGGGGAGGCGUUACUCGCAGAAGAAGCACCGGCUAACGCCGUGCCAGCAGCCGCGGUAAUAC
rnacentral:rRNA from 1 species